GAUGAACGCUAGCUACAGGCUUAACACAUGCAAGUCGAGGGGCAGCACAGUGUAGCAAUACACGGGUGGCGACCGGCGCACGGGUGCGUAACGCGUAUCCAAUCUACCCGUCACUCAGGGAUAGCCUUUCGAAAGAAAGAUUAAUACCUGAUGGCAUGCCCAUGCCGCAUGGCGUGAGCAUUAAAGGACUCCGGUGACGGAUGAGGAUGCGACCGAUUAGGUAGUAGGCGGGGCAACGGCCCACCUAGCCGACGAUCGGUAGGAGUUCUGAGAGGAAGGUCCCCCACAUUGGAACUGAGACACGGGUCCAAAUUCCUACGGGGA
rnacentral:rRNA from 1 species